rnacentral:tRNA from 2 species
GGAAGGGUGGCCGAGUGGUUUAAGGCACACGCCUGGAACGCGUGCAUACGUGAAAGCGUAUCGAGGGUUCGAAUCCCUCCUCUUCCGCCA